GCUGGGGAGAAAGAGGCCAAGUCAGCCUGCCAGCUAGGAGAAACAUGGAGUAGGGAUGUAUGGGGAGGGGCGAGAAACUCGCCCGUCUCUGUACAGCUGCCCGACAGACCCCAGAGGACCUUCCUCAUACCAGAGGGAGAGCUGGAGAGAGAGGCCAAGAAAUAGAGACAGGCAGAGUCAGAGACAAGGGGGGAAAGAGAUCAGAGCCAGGUGCCCAUCGAGAUGCCGCCAGUAACACUCACACCUGCUUAGCGCUUUGACUUCUCUGCAAGCCCAUUUCACAGACGGAACACUGAGGCUCACACAGGUCAAGAGAAAAACCCCACAUCUGAUGGCCCAGACCAAAGGGGUGUGGUCAGUUGUCAUGGUUCUCCAAUCCUGACUGGAUGAAGGCAGGAGUUCUUUAUUGAAUGGGUUGUGUGAUGGAUUCUAGAGCCAGAAAACCCGAGUUCAAAUUCUGACAGCCUCUUCCUGCCUUCAGCAAAUCACUAAGCUUCCCGGGACCUCCAUUUGUCCAUCUGCAAAAUGAGCUGUUGCAAAUAAAGUGGUUGAGAGGACUGGACGAGUUAACUUGUGCAAAGCGCUUAGAAUUGUGCCUCGCACACAGGAAGCAUUUUGUGUUUAUGCUGGUGAUGAUGGUGAGGUGCUGUUCUAGUCUCUGGAGAUACUGGAGUCACGGAGUAGGAAAUGAAACCACGUCUGCAUCUGCUCGUGGGCCUGGUAGGGACUGAGUGAGUGGCCUCUCAGUGGCUGGAUGGGCGUGUAACUGCAUACCUGGGGUGUCUGUUUUGCAUGUGAAAUAGAAUAUUUCUGUGUUGUCAGUAAGGGUGAUUGAUUGUGUGCCUAUGUUUAUGUUUGUGUUUGUAGGUGACUCUGCGUGGUGCCUGUGAUUCUCUGACUGUGUGGGUGCAAAUGAAGGUCACACUGAGCAGGCGGGCCUGACUUGAAGGACGCUAGCUGUGAUAAGCCCUCCUUGACGUCAAUCACCAUCCUCCAGCCAUUAGACGCUUCGCCUUCUACCUCCCUGGGCCACUCAAGGCACGUUCCGCGGCAGGCGGGGCCCACAGACAAAGUCGGACAGCGAUAGGCUCUGGGAGACGCCAGUCUCUGCGAGUCUCUGCCAGUCUGCCAAUAGGACGGGCAGCUGCGGGGUGGGAUUCCCACGGCGCACCGCAGAGGCCGGAACUGCUCGCGAGGGAAACAGGUUCGGCGUGUCCAGGCGGAACAAAACCAAACCGACGGGCGAGGUAGGGCCAGGCCCCCGCCCUGCGUCGGUCACAGCAGCAGUAGAAGGCAAUGAUGGAGUGCAGCUCUGGCUGUCUACGGAGACUGGUUUGUGUGCCCCCUCCCCCGCCCCCCUGGCCAGGGUCUCAGCUUGCGGCCCCGCCUCCCCUCUCCCCACCCCCCAGCCGUCCCCCCACCUUAAGGCACAGCCUGCCCCUCCCGCCCACCCCCACCGGAGGGAGGGCCGAAUGGGCCAGAAGCCCCUCGCGGGGGUCCCCGCCGCCUAACGGGGGGGGGGGGGGGGAGGGGGGUAUUCACCACGGAGGCCGGCUUAGAUGG